ACGGGAGGCGGCAGUGGGGAAUAUUGCACAAUGGGGGAAACCCUGAUGCAGCAACGCCGCGUGAGUGAAGAAGUAUUUCGGUAUGUAAAGCUCUAUCAGCAGGGAAGAUAAUGACGGUACCUGACUAAGAAGCUCCGGCUAAAUACGUGCCAGCAGCCGCGGUAAUACGUAUGGAGCAAGCGUUAUCCGGAUUUACUGGGUGUAAGGGUGCGUAGGUGGCAUGGUAAGUCAGAUGUGAAAUACCGGGGCUCAACCCCGGAGCUGCAUUUGAAACUGCCUGGCUGGAGUGCAGGAGAGGCAAGCGGAAUUCCUAGUGUAGCGGUGAAAUGCGUAGAUAUUAGGAAGAACACCAGUGGCGAAGGCGGCUUGCUGGACUGUUACUGACACUGAGGCACGAAAGCGUGGGGAGCAAACAGGAUUAGAUACCCUGGUA
rnacentral:rRNA from 1 species